UGACCAGUGCUGGGCUGGGGGAUGGGAUGAUGCCGAGUCAUCAUCUCCAUCAGGGGGUCCAUGCCUGAGCCUGUCUUCCUGCCAGUCCUAGGGACAGAGCCUCAGUCCUCAUCAUUCACCAGGCAGGAGAAGGAAGUGGAUCCAAACUCCUAGCUUAUGACUCAGCAGAGAUACAGCAUGGACCAGUUCCAUAGGCAUCGCCCACACCAGAACAUGAAUUGGACUUCUCAAAAACAUAUCCUACAUUCUCCAAAAUGAUCAUGAUCAUGGUGGCGAUGAGGAGAAAAGCCAUAAGGUCAUGAAAUUUUAUUGAGUGUUUCCUGUGACAGGCUUUGAGCAAUGUGCUAUGUAGAUUUUAAAUUUUCAUCUGUAUUAUCACCUCCCAAGCUACUGGUGC
rnacentral:lncRNA from 1 species